rnacentral:rRNA from 1 species
UACAGGGGGUGCAAACGUUGCUCGGAAUCAUUGGGCGUAAAGCGCACGUAGGCGGUCUGUUAUGUCGGAUGUGAAAGCCCUUGGCUCAACUGAGGAAGUGCAUCCGAAACUGGCAGGCUAGAGUACUAAAGAGGGUCGCGGAAUUCCCGGUGUAGAGGUGAAAUUCGUAGAUAUCGGGAGGAACACCGGUGGCGAAGGCGGCGACCUGGGUAGAUACUGACGCUGAGGUGCGAAAAGCGUGGGGGAGCAACAGG